GAUGAAGAACGUAGCGAAAUGCGAUAAGUAAUGUGAAUUGCAGAAUUCAGUGAAUCAUCGAAUCUUUGAACGCACAUUGCGCCCCUUGGUAUUCAGAGGGGCAUGCCUGUUCGAGCGUCAUAUUAACCACUCCCGCUUGCGGGGUCUUGGGCUUCGCCUCCGGGCGGGCCUUAAAAUCAGUGGCGGUGCCGUCGGGCUCUACGCGUAGUAAAUUUUCUCGCGAUAGGGUCCCGGUGGAUGCUUGCCAACAACCCCCAACUUCUUAAGGUUGACCUCGGAUCAGGUAGGGAUACCCGCUGAACUUAAGCAUAUCAAUAAGCGGAGGA
rnacentral:misc_RNA from 1 species